UACGAAGGGGGCUAGCGUUGCUCGGAAUCACUGGGCGUAAAGCGCACGUAGGCGGAUCUUUUAAGUCAGGGGUGAAAUCCCAAGGCUCAACCUUGGAACUGCCUUUGAUACUGGGGAUCUCGAGUCCGGAAGAGGUUGGUGGAACUGCGAGUGUAGAGGUGAAAUUCGUAGAUAUUCGCAAGAACACCAGUGGCGAAGGCGGCUCACUGGCCCAUAACUGACGCUGAGGCGCGAAGGCGUGGGGGAGCGAACGGGG
rnacentral:rRNA from 1 species